rnacentral:rRNA from 1 species
UACGUAGGGGGCGAGCGUUGUCCGGAUUCAUUGGGCGUAAAGAGCUCGUAGGCGGCUUGGCAAGUCGGAUGUGAAAACUCCAGGCUCAACCUGGAGACCGCCCAUUCGAUACUGCGUAUGGCUAGAGUCCGGUAGGGGUGUGUGGAACUUCCGGUGGAGCGGUGAAAUGUGUAGAUAUCGGAAGGAACGCCAGCAGCGAAAGCGGCACACUGGGCCUUUUCUGACGCUGAGGCACGAAAGC